ensembl:lncRNA LINC02359 long intergenic non-protein coding RNA 2359
GGAUGCUGGGCAAUAUAGUCCAGUAGUGUGGCUAGCAGGAAAAUUAAAGGGGUUUGGUGAAUCCAUUGCUCCUGCCAUCACCCAGAUUAAAGACCUGCCCUCUCAUCCGCAGUCAGGGAUUGAGUGGGCAAGCACUGUGGGCUGCAGACACCAAGCUCCACCAUGAUUCCCCCUCCACUCUCAGAGGCUCCAUCCAGCUGGCAGGCUCACAGCACUGCAGCCCAGCAUCUGAAGUGGUACUGUCCCUAGGCUGAUGACUGUCACAUUUUUAGUGGGGCCAAAACUUUCCUCCAAGAUUCAGAUGUGUGUCACCAACUAGAGAGCAGGCUUGGAAUUUAAAAAUAAAGUUUUCAUGGAGGGGCUUCUAUAUGCCCCUUUCUGCUUGCUUUGACUUUGGCCAUGUGGAAGAGAGAUGAGGCAGCACUUCCAGGGGAUCCUUCAAUCAACCUAUGAUUCUUAAUACUUGAAUUAAAAGGAGAAUGGUCAUUAAACAGAAACUGCUGCUAAAAGUGACAAGCAACUUAGCAAUACACAUUAGGAGCAAAGAUUAUAAUUUAUGCAGCAUAUUUUCAUAUACAGGCAAAUCUGAGAUAGAAGGAAAAACAAAUGGCUUGGAAUAAAACAAAAUCCUUAAAAUGUGUAA